UACGAAGGGUGCAAGGGUUAUCCGGAAUCACUGGGCGUAAAGCGUCUGUAGGUGGUCAAAUAAGUCAACUGUUAAAUCUUGAGGCUCAACCUCAAAAUCGCAGUCGAAACUAUUAGACUAGAGUAUAGUAGGGGUAAAGGGAAUUUCCAGUGGAGCGGUGAAAUGCGUAGAGAUUGGAAAGAACACCGAUGGCGAAGGCACUUUACUGGGCUAUUACUAACACUCAGAGACGAAAGCUAGGGUAGCAAAUGGG
rnacentral:rRNA from 1 species